rfam:Prevotella sp. S7-1-8 contig071, whole genome shotgun sequence.
GCGCUUGUGGCGGAAUUGGUAGACGCGCCAGACUUAGGAUCUGGUGUUGCGAGACGUGCAGGUUCGAUUCCUGUCAGGCGCA